UACAGAGGUCUCAAGCGUUGUUCGGAUUCAUUGGGCGUAAAGGGUGCGUAGGCGGCGCGGUAAGUCGGGUGUGAAAUCUCGGAGCUUAACUCCGAAACUGCAUUCGAUACUGCCGUGCUUGAGGACUGGAGAGGAGACUGGAAUUUACGGUGUAGCGGUGAAAUGCGUAGAUAUCUGGAGGAACACCGGUGGCGAAGGCGGCAUCCUGGACCAAUAUUGACGCUGAGGAGCGAAAGCCAGGGGAGCAAACGGG
rnacentral:rRNA from 1 species